rnacentral:rRNA from 1 species
AGGUGGGAGGUGAAGAACAUGCCCUCGUGGGGGCAUGGGAGCCGACGGUGAGAUACCACUCUGACGAAGCUAGGAUUCUAACCUGANACCGUAAGCCGGUUCGGGGAAAGUUUCAGGUGGGCAGUUUGACUGGGGCGGUCGCCUCCAAAAAGGUAACGGAGGCGCGCAAAGGUUCCCUCAGGCUGGUUGGAAAUCAGCCGAAGAGUGCAAAGGCAGAAGGGAGCUUGACUGCGAGACCAACAAGUCAAGCAGGGACGAAAGUCGGCCUUAGUGAUCCGACGGUACUGAGUGGAAGGGCCGUCGCUCAACGGAUAAAAGUUACUCUAG